AUUGAACGCUGGCGGCAGGCCUAACACAUGCAAGUCGAGCGAGCGGCGGACGGGUGAGUAAUGUCUGGGAAACUGCCUGAUGGAGGGAGAUCACUACUGGAAACGGUAGCUCAUACCGCAUACCAUCAGAUGUGCCCCGAUGUGAUUAGCUAGUAGGUGGGGUAACGGCUCACCUAGGCGACGAACCCUAGCUGGUAUGAGAGGAUGACCAGCCACACUGGAACUGAGACAAGGCCCAGACUCCUACGGGAGGAAGCAGUGGGGAAGAGUGCACAAUGGGCGCAAGCCUGAGGCAGCCAUGCCGCGUGUGUGAAGAAGGCCUUCGGGUUGUAAAGCACUUUCAGCGGGGAGGCGUUACCCGCAGAAGAAGCACCGGCUAACUCCGUGCCAGCAGCCGCGGUAAUAC
rnacentral:rRNA from 1 species